rnacentral:rRNA from 1 species
ACACUCCUGCGGGAGGCAGCAGUGGGAAAUAUUGGACAAUGGGCGCAAGCCUGAUCCAGCCAUGCCGCGUGAGUGAUGAAGGCCCUAGGGUUGUAAAGCUCUUUCACCGGAGAAGAUAAUGACGGUAUCCGGAGAAGAAGCCCCGGCUAACUUCGUGCCAGCAGCCGCGGUAAUACGAAGGGGGCUAGCGUUGUUCGGAAUUACUGGGCGUAAAGCGCACGUAGGCGGAUCGAUCAGUCAGGGGUGAAAUCCCAGGGCUCAACCCUGGAACUGCCUUUGAUACUGUCGAUCUGGAGUAUGGAAGAGGUGAGUGGAAUUCCGAGUGUAGAGGUGAAAUUCGUAGAUAUUCGGAGGAACACCAGUGGCGAAGGCGGCUCACUGGUCCAUUACUGACGCUGAGGUGCGAAAGCGUGGGGAGCAAACAGGAUUAGAAACCCCGGUAGUCCCAUGAU